AGACAAUGGGGGAGUUGCAGAGAGAGGUGCCCUGUGUUUGUUCCCAGCCUUCCUUCACUCACCUGCACCUGCCCCUGCCCUGCUUUGGCCAACAUGUUCUAUGCAGGCAGCAGAGUUCAUAUCAAGGGCCCAUGUUUUAGCUGAAUAUAAUGAUUUUUUUUUUCACCUUGGAAGAGUCUUAGAGGCAAGACUAGAAUGUUAAUCUAAAAGGAGUGCAAAUUUCUUCAACAACCAUUCCCACGGAGGAAGGUCUACUCUGUGAAAAGGAAAUGAUCAUACAUAAUUCACACAUUUGCUGUAAGGAUUUAAUUAAGUGAUAGACAAAAAGUAGAGUGGCACAAGUCAAACUCAAAAAAUGGUAACAACAAAAACAAUUUCAAAAUAAGCAACAGCAAUAAAUGUUACCUACUAUUUUACAAAUGAAAAUACUGAGACCAAUAAAGGCAUUAUAGUAUAUGUAGCCUUGAAAUCAGAAGACUAAGAACAUACAAGAGAACAUAGCCUUGGAAUCAGAAGACCAAGAAACAAUUUAACUCUGCCCCUCCAGAGCUCUGAGAACUUGGGCAAGCCUCUUACCCUCUGUGAGUUUCAGUUUCCUCAUUUAUUUAAUUAAAAUAAUAAUAC
rnacentral:lncRNA from 1 species